AGAGUUUGAUCAUGGCUCAGAAUCAACGCUGGCGGCGCGCCUAACACAUGCAAGUCGAACGAGAAAGCAGGAGCAAUCUUGUGAGUAAAGUGGCGUACGGGUGAGUAACACGUGGAUCAUCUACCCUCUUGUGGGGGAUAACCCUGGGAAACCGGGGCUAAUACCGCAUAAGUCCGAGAGGAGAAAGCAGCAAUGCGCAGGAGGAGGAGUCCGCGGCCGAUUAGCUAGUUGGUAGGGUAAAAGCCUACCAAGGCUACGAUCGGUAGCCGGCCUGAGAGGGCACACGGCCACACUGGCACUGAAACACGGGCCAGACUCCUACGGGAGGCAGCAGUGGGGAAUCUUGCACAAUGGGGGCAACCCUGAUGCAGCGACGCCGCGUGAGCGAUGAAGCCCUUCGGGGUGUAAAGCUCUUUCGGCAGGGAAGAUUAUGACGGUACCUGCAGAAGCAGCUGCGGCUAACUACGUGCCAGCAGCCGCGGUAAUACGUAGGCAGCAAGCGUUGUUCGGAGUUACUGGGCGUAAAGGGUGUGUAGGCGGUUUUCUAAGUCUGGUGUGAAAUCUCCCGGCUCAACUGGGAGGGUGCGCCGAAAACUGGAAGGCUAGAGUGCGGGAUGGGAGAGUGGAAUUCCUGGUGUAGCGGUGAAAUGCGUAGAUAUCAGGAGGAACACCUGUGGUGUAGACGGCUCUCUGGACCGCAACUGACGCUGAGACACGAAAGCGUGGGUAGCAAACAGGAUUAGAUACCCUAGUAGUCC
rnacentral:rRNA from 1 species